GGGAGUUUGGCCGAGUGGUCUAUGGCGUCAGAUUUAGGUUCUCUGGUAUCUUCGGAUGCGCGAGUUCGAAUCUCGCAGCUCUCA
rnacentral:tRNA from 1 species